UAUAAAGAAAAAUGGCGUGGUGAGCGCCGGGGCGUUCGUCGCCGGAAAUCAGUGUUGUCUUCUUCCUGUGUAUGUGCCAGAGAGAGGGUGAGCUGAGGGUGAGCUAGGGCUAGCCGGUUCCAACAGAAGCCGUGCUCGAUCCGGUCAAAGGUGAUAUUUUUACACGGGCGGCGGUGCUCGAUCCGUGCUGGAGCAUCGGGAGGAGGACGACGGCGCAGUGGGCUUCUGUUCUUCCCUGCUGUCGAGAAGCGGCCCCGGCCUGUUGACCCGCGCGCCCUCGUCCUGGCCGUGGCCGCUACCUGGGCUGCUCGCGAGGCAGCGCAACAUGUCGGGGUCGCCGACGACCCUGAGGAGGAAGAGGAGUGCUUGGUCCAGCGCUCCGUCUCCUACACCCUGCCGCCACGCGCUCCUCGGAGAUACCCAACCAGCCAUGGAGUAAUUCAAGUUCAAGGUCCCGGUUGGUACUGCCAGCAGCCUUGCCGGUCCAAGCAAUCAAGAUCAUCAGCAAGUCAAUAACGGAGACGGUCGAGCACUGUCAUCACACUGAACCUGCAACACCAGUGAGAUGACUGAAGAUUGGGUUGUGGUUGGAGUGAGAGGAGAAGCAAAUCACUUAACCAGUUGAAUCCUUGGGUGUACAAGACGGCCGAGCUGUGGCAGGUGAAGGAGCCGCUGCCGCUGCCCGCGCCGAAGAAGCGCAACUGCUCCAUGGUGUUCACCCUCAAGGAGAUGGAGGAGGCCACCAGCAUGUUCAGCGACAAGAACCUCAUCGGCAAGGGUGGCUUCGGCCGGGUUUACAGGGGCGUGCUCAAAGAUGGGUAGAUUCUCUUGAUUGGAGUGGAGAGGAGCAGAGACGAGAGGAGCAGCAGAAGUGGACAGCGCAGCGGCUGACCUCAAGCUCUUGAUUGGAGUGGGGGGAGGCGGCCGGCGAAGGAUCCGAAGCUGUGGCGGAGCAGGCAGCCGGCGGGAAGGGCGGCCGGCGAGGGAGCUGCGGACCGCGGCGGGGAAGGGCGGCCGAUGAGGGAGCUGCGGACCACGGCGGGGAAGGGCGGCCGGCCGGCGAGGGAGCUGCGUACCGCGGCGGGGAAGGACGCCGGAGAUGCGGACGACGGAGGAGCCCGGCGAAAGGGAGCAGCGACGGCGGAGAAGCCUGGCAGAGGGGAGGAGCGACGGAGGAAGACGCCUCCCGAUCGAUUUCAAAUCAGGGGUAGUAUUGUACUUUCACACUGUUUCACCUGGUCGGAACGAUGCCCCCAGCGACAAUUAUUUCGGAACGGAGGGAGUACCAUGCAUGGUGUUGUGCAAAUUGGCAAGCCAUACAAGGAAGAAUCAGCCCAUUGCACAUCGUUCAGCAGAAAGGGCCCAGUCUCUUUGCGACCUGAGCCCAUCUGCCUCUUUUUUCGCUUUUUCUUUCUCCAUUUCAGUCCUAUAGUAAUGAUUAUAUCGUGUAUAUGCGUGAAUGUGAGCAUCUCCGAUUGUAUUGUGUUAAAAAAAUGUUUCAUUUCGCUUCA